rnacentral:rRNA from 1 species
CGGGUGCACUGAUCCAGCCGGGCCUUUCCCUCUGUGGAACCCCAUGGCCUUCACUGGCUGUGGUGGGGAAACAGGACUUUUACUUUGAAAAAAUUAGAGUGCUCCAGGCAGGCCUAUGCUCGAAUACAUUAGCAUGGAAUAAUAGAAUAGGACGUGUGGUUCUAUUUUGUUGGUUUCUAGGACCGCCGUAAUGAUUAAUAGGGACAGUCGGGGGCAUCAGUAUUCAAUUGUCAGAGGUGAGAUUCUUGGAUCUAUUGAAGACUAACUACUGCGAAAGCAUUUGCCAAGGAUGUUUUCAUUGAUAAGGAACGAAAGUUAGGGGAUCGAAGACGAUCAGAUACCGUCGUAGUCUUAACUAUAAACUAUGCCGACUAGGGAUCGGACGAUGUUAUUCUUUGACGCGUUCGGCACCUUUCGAGAAAUCAAAGUGCUUGGGCUCCAGGGGGAGUAUGGUCGCAAGGCUGAAACUUAAAGAAAUUGACGGAAGGGCACCACCAGGGGUGGAACCUGCGGCUUAAUUUGACUCAACACGGGGAAACUCACCAGGUCCAGACACAGUGAGGAUUGACAGAUUGAGAGCUCUUUCUUGAUUCUGUGGGUGGUGGUGCAUGGCCGUUCUUAGUUGGUGGAGUGAUUUGUCUGCUUAAUUGCGAUAACGAACGAGACCUUAACCUGCUAAAUAGCCCGUACUGCUUUGGCAGUUCGCCGGCUUCUUAGAGGGACUAUCGG